CCUCCUUAUAACGAAGUUACACUUACAGAGUGUUCACACAAAUAAUUAAUUACGAAGUUUUAAGAGAGCUCUAACCCAUGCGCACAGUAUGUGCUCAUCAGUUAGGGUUUUUAACCCGGACGUGUAAACGUCAUGCUCUUUAACAAUUUGGAAAGCUGAUAAAAUAAGGUAAACAUUAUUGUUUAUUUAAUUUGUUAUUCAACAAUUUAAAAAAUAAUUUUGAUUAUCACUGUAAGAGAAAACUCAAGCGUUAUUUAUGUCAAAACGAACAUGCCUAUACAACAUGUCUCGUUAAUAAAUAUGACACAAGAUGAUGCAAUCGAGAAUGUGAGAACAUUUAAGGUUGUAUGGUUAAGUGAAUAAGCGUAUACGGUGGAUGC
rnacentral:misc_RNA from 1 species